UGUAUAUUUCUCUGACUAGAUUGUUGUUGUCAUUGACAUCCUCAUCACUGAGGGGGCUUAGAUCAAUGACCAACUCGCUCAACGACCAAUUUCUUUAGCCACUUCAUCGCCCACAUCUUCCAGGGUAAUAUGAUACUAUCAGAUAUUGGAGUUGCUGAGAAGUGAAUAUAUCAUUCUACUCUCAAUGGUAAUUAUAGCCUACCUAGUGUAACGUAAUUGAUAAUAUCAUGGCCUCGCCCCCUAGUCCCAGUUGGUUUCUUUAGUUAUUGUCCAUGAAUGACACUUUAUUCAAAUAAGCAUUGGUGUGCUGUUACUCAUGUAAUCUUUUUUCUUAUUCAUAGAAAAAAUAACUAUUUAAAUAUGUUGUUCUAUGUCCUCAUGGAUCUCUAUUAACAAAACAUCAAAUCUCAGAGCUUCUUAGCCUUUCUUUU